GAUGAACGCUGGCGGCGUGCCUCAAACAUGCAAGUCGAGCGGGGCUAUGUAAUAUCGCAAGGUAGAACAUAGCCUAGCGGCGAACGGGUGAGUAACACGUGGGUAACCUGCCUGGAAGACAGGGAUAACGAUUCGAAAGGGCUGCUAAUACCGAAUACGCUUACCGGGUCGCAUGAUCCGGUAAGGAAAGGUCGGCAACUUCCGCUUUCGGGUGGGCCCGCGUCCCAUUAGCUAGUUGGUAGGGUAACGGCCUACCAAGGCAACGAUGGGUAGCUGGUCUGAGAGGAUGGUCAGCCACACUGGGACUGAGACACGGCCCAGACUCCUACGGGAGGCAGCAGUGGGGAAUCUUGCGCAAUGGGCGAAAGCCUGACGCAGCGACGCCGCGUGAGCGAGGAAGGCCUUCGGUCGUAAAGCUCUGUCAGAGGGGACGGAGUAAUGACGGUACCCGUCCAGAGGAAGCCCCGGCUAACUACGUGCCAGCAGCCGCGGUAAAGUAACUCUAU
rnacentral:rRNA from 1 species